rnacentral:rRNA from 1 species
GACGAACGCUGGCGGCGUGCUUAACACAUGCAAGUCGAACGGAAAGGCCUCUUUCGGGGGGUCCUGGGGUGGCAACGGGGGGAUAAAACCGGAGGUAACUUCCCCUUACUUUUGGGUUAACUCAAGGAACCUGGGGUAAUUACGGGUAGGGGGCUCCUGUGGCAGGGUGGGGGUUGGAAGGUUUGGGGGGUUGGGGUUGGACUCGCGGCUUUUCAGCUGUUUUGGGGGGUAGUGGCUUACCAAGGCUUUGACGGGUAGCCGGCCUGAGAGGGUGACCGGCCACAUUGGGACUGAGAUACGGCCCAGACUCCUACGGGAGGCAGCAGUGGGGAAUAUUGCACAAUGGGUGGAAGCCUGAUGCAGCAACGCCGUGUGCGGGAUGACGGCCUUCGGGUUGUAAACCGCUUUCGCUCAUGACGAAGCUUUGUGUGACGGUAGUGGGUAAAGAAGCACCGGCUAACUACGUG